rnacentral:lncRNA from 1 species
GCAAGCUCUGCGUGGUCUUGGGUGGCGAGUUCGAGCCUUAGAACGGCCGAGUGCCCUGGAACCGGUUUCGGCUCUGGCGUCCUCGCGUGUCCUCCGGCUCCAGGUUACAACGUCAGUAUUGGCGCCUUGGCGCGGUCCCGUCCUGCUCUCGUCCUCCGUUCCGUGGACCCCGGGGCUGUUCUGGCGCCUCGCAGGCCGGGCCCCUCCCAUCGACUCGAUGGGCAGGGCUCUGCGAGGCUCGGGGACCGGGGACGCGCGGCCUUCCUGACAAGGAGCCCGAGGGUCUGCACAGCCUGGGGCACCACCCGGCCUGGUGAGGAUGAUCGCUGUGCGCGCGAUGCACAUGCGCCCUCAACACCUCUGCACAUUCAUGCACGUGUCCAUACAUGGGUGCACACACGUCCUUACACGUAUGUACAUACGCAUGUGUACACACGCCCAUGUCUACACGCGCACAUGUCUGCACACGAGUCACACGUGCAAGUGCACGCAUGGAUGGUGGACACGCGUUUACACACGUGAAUAUGUGUAUACACAUGCAGACACAUGUGCCUGCCCACAUGGAUGUGUGCACAAACAAGCACAGAGGUCCUCAGUGGCUCACUCCUGGUGGCCGUGUGCUGUGGGCUGGGAAUGGCCAUACUCAUUUCUCAGAGCUUUUGAGUUGUGUGUGUUUCCAGUUGUGCAUAUUAAUUAGAAAAAACAAAAGUGAAUUUGUAGGUUAAGGCAGGUCCUUAAGUUUCCUUAAUUUCCUCUCCCUGGAGACCUGGCAGGCUGGGCCGGGCACUGCUGCGGAAGGCCAGCCGCACCCUGAGUCAGGUCUUCUCCAGAAGGUUCAGGGCAAGCUCUGGAUUACAGAUAGGAAACCAAAUGCAUGAGGAAGGCACUGCUCACCCUGCAAUGACGGUCAAGGUGUGGGGUGGGGAGCAGCAGCCUGGAGGUCAGAGCCAGGACCUUGGGGGCUGAGAGUGGUGUGCUUGCCUGGUGAUCUUCAGCAAUGGGAGGCCUGGUGUCACCCUGGGGCCCAGACUGUGAAGGACUGGUGGCUUUGGGGAUCUGCGUGAUCCAGGGGGCCCAAGCAUCUGCCCAGCCGGCAUUCUGUGCACUGCCCACCUGCCUGUGUUGUCAACGAGGACGGGGUUUGCUAAAAUGCAGAUUCUUGCCUCUUCCCUAGUCUGAGUCCAGGGUCUGUGGUCAGGCCUGGGAAUCUGUAUUCAUUGAGGCCCUUUGGGUCCCGCCAUCAUAGCAGCCUGUCUUUACUUUGGGUGGAGGUCGGAGGUCUGCACAUCACCCAGGAGGCUUACCAGUGGUAACCCAAGAAGAGGGAAGAUGGCAAGAGGGUCUUUGCAGGGUUGGGAGGGCAAGGAUGGAAGGACCUGGGAGGCCACAGCACCCUCUCGGACUUGGCGCAGAACCCGUGGAAACAGCCUGCGAUGCACGGAUGGAGGUGGCUUUGCCCUGUGUCUGCUGGUGCCUCUGGAACUCCGGCUCUGACAGACGCUGCGUCUCCUGCUGACUGCUGCAUCCCAAGAUGAGCCCAGCGCUUGCACACAGGGCGUCCCAAAGUGUUUGUUGAACAAAGGCAUGAUCAGUGUUGGUAUUGCCCUGAGACUCAUGCCCUCAGCCCCGAUUCGGGCACAUGGCUCAUGUCAACCGCUGGAAGUCCCUCUGGGGCCCACAAAUGUCUCUAGACCACAGGAAGAGUCGGCCUGGCUCCAUGUGCCUGGCGCCUGGGGCAGAAAGGUGGACGGGGCAAUCAGAGUGGUCACCAUCGGGGAGUACACUUUGCACUCCACUCGAGUCUCCAGGGAUAUAACUCACUGGAUCCUAAGUCUCACUUUCUGAGGGCCGUUCUUAGAGUCUCCUGUAUGAAAUCAGGCUACAUCCAGAGAAAGUUCCAGAAAUAAGAAAAGAUGAGAUCGCCUACUGACCCUCCCAUUUUUUGCACACGGACACUGAGGGAGGGGAGGAACUUGCUCAAGGGCACCACACAAUUUUUUUUUGAGAUGGAGUCUCAAAGAUGGAGAAUUCCUCCAACCAUGAGGAAUUUGAACGCUUAUCCCGAAUAGUGGAAAAUGAACGUCUCAUGGAGUUAGGGCCUGUCACCACCUGGGGAUCUACAGUCAGACAUGGCAUAGAGGAUGCCCUCCCAGAUCCCGCUCUGUCUCCCAGACUGGAGUGCAGUAGUGCCACCUUGGCUCACUGCAACCUCCGUCUUCCGGAUUCAAGCGAUUCUCUGGCCUUAGCCUCCUGAGUAGAUGGGAUUACAGGCGCACACCACCACACCCGGCUAAUUUUGUAUUUUUACUAGAGAUGGGGCUUCACCAUGUUGGCCAGGCUGGUCUUGAACUCCUGACCUCAAGUGAUCCACCUGCCUCAGUCUCCCAAAGUGCUGGGAUCACAGGCAUGAGCCAACAUACCCAGCCCACCCCAUGAGUUAUUGCUAGAGUGGUGGGGUAGGGACCCGGCCCCCAGCUCUCAGUGCUGGACAUGGGCAGGGUGGGCAUGGGUUCCCUUCCAGCCCUGGCAGAGCCCUGGACCAUGCGUGCUUUUCCCCUCAAGUGUCGAGGCAGGCAGGGCUGCUGCAUAGAAUACAAGAUGCCCCAUUGAGAUGGAAUCUCAGACAAAUGAGUCAUGUUUUACUGUAAGCAUAUCCCAAAUAUUUCAUGGGACACACUUAUACUAAAACUUAUUCAUUGUUUAUCUGAGCUUCAAAUGUAGUGGAGUGCCCUGUAUUUUUAUUUGCUAAAUUUGGCAGCCCUAGUAACGGGAGCUGGAAGGCUUUUGUUAUUUGCCCUCAAGCAGCAUUUCCUGGCAUUGGCUUCAGUGACCAGUUGUCUCUUGAAAUGUCCCAUGGACAGAAGGGAAGAAAACUGGGAAAUACUGUGUUAAAUAAACUUGCACAAUUCCUUUUUUUUUUUCUUUAAAGAAAAGCCUAGCCGGGCGUGGUGGCUCACACCUGUAAUCCCAGCACUUUGGGAGGCCAAGAAGGGCGGCUCACAAGGUCAGGAGUUUGAGACUAUCCUGGCCAAUGUGUUGAAACCCCAUCUCUACUAAAAAUAAAAAAAUUAGCUGGGUGUGGUGUCGGGUGCCUGUAAUCCCAGCUACUUGGGAGGCUGAGGCAGGAGAAUUGCUUGAACCCAGGCGGGAGGUUGCAGUGAGCUGAGAUCACGCCGCUGCACUCCAGCCUGGGCAACAGAGUGAGACUCCGUCUCAAAAAAAAAGAAAAGAAAAGAAAAGAAAAAAGCCUAUUAGUUGGCAGGAGGGCUUAUGAAAAUGAGGCCUGGGGGAUGUGUCAUUUACUCAACUGUCUUGGCUAAUGGGAUCUCUAGGCUGGUGAGGUUGCGUUCUGUGUUUUUUUUUUUUUUUUUUUUUUUUUUUGAGACGGUGUCUCGCUCUGUUGCUGAGGGUGGAGUGCAGUGGUGCGAUCUCGGCUCGCUGCAACCUCUGCCUCCCAGGUUCAAGCAAUUCUCAUGCCUCAGCCUCCAGAGUAGCUGGGAUUACAGGCAUGUGCCACCAUGCCCAGCUACUUUUUUGUGUUUUUUCUAGAGACAGGAUUUCACCAUGUUGGCCAGGUUGGUCUCGAACUCCUGACCUCGAGUGAUCCGCCCACCUUGGCCUCCCAGAGUGCUGGGAUUAUAGGCGUGAGGCACCGCUCCUGGCUGUGUUCUAUGUUCUGUAAAGGAAAACAGUGCAGGUAGGAGAAAAGAGGGGCCUGGGAAGGGAAGAAAACAGCAGGGAAGAGGAGGGCUGAAGACAGAGCAGGAGGAAGGCUGAGUGGCUUUAGCUCUUUGGCCUAACCCAGACCAGUCAGAGUUCACUCUGGGCACCUCCCAGUGGCAGCCACUUGAUUUGCAGGCAAAGAGCUUGGAGACCGGCUCUGCAAAUUCAGCCUUAUCCAUGUCCACAUGGGUAUGGCCCCGGAAAGCACUCAACAAAUAUGCACUAAAUGGAUGACUUCAGGCAGUGAUCCAGAUUAUUCAGAGCAGAAAGCUGCUUGGGCUCUGAUUACAGAAAAGUACUCCCCGCUCAUCCGGAUGCAGGGAUACCUUCCAAGACCCCCUGUGGAGGCCUGAAACUGUGGAUUGUACCGAACUGUAGAAAUACAGUACUGUUUUUUUUUCCUAUACAUACAUACCUAUGAUAAAGCUAGGCACAGUAAGAGAUUAACAGUAAUUACUAAUGAUAAACAGAACGAUUGCCACAAUAUACUGCUGUAAUAAAGUUAGUGUGUGUGAUCUCUCUUUCACAAUAUCCUAGUGUUCCAUGCUCACCUAGUUUCCGGCCACUAUUGACCGUGGGUACCUGAAAUUGCAGAAAGCAGAAACUCAGAUAAGCAGGGACUACUGUACUCUUUUUUUUUUUGAGACAGAGUCUCGCUCUCACCCAGGCUGGAGUGCAGUGGUGUGAUCUCGGCUCGCUGCAACCUCUGCCUCCCAGGUUCAAGCAAUCCUCCUGCUUCUACCUCCCAAAGUACUGGGAUUACAGGCAUGAGCCACCACGCUCGGCCCUGUACUCUUAUUUGCAGGCUCACAUGGCUUUAGGGAGACUGUAUUUUCCAGAAUGCUGAUGACAUUUCUGCUCCAGAUCUGGGGAAGUGUUGGUGAGUCAGUACUCAGCAGGAUAGAAGGCUGAGGACAGUUUGGGCCCCCACAGGUGGCCAUUCUCCCUCCCCAGAAACCUGGCCAUGUGGUGGGCCGAGGCUGCCCGCUCUUUCGAAACUCCAAGCUCUGGGCACCCACAAGGAAGGAAGGACGAAGCGAGGGUGGAGUGAGUGCAGUGAGAAGCGCUCCUCCCGGCCGCCAGCACCAUCCUGCGGAGUUAGUGAUGUGGCGGGAUCAGAGUUCAGUCUUUACAGGGAAUGUCUCCUGGAGACACAUCUUACUGGCAGCAUCUGUGGGCUGCCUGGGGUGGGGUGAGGCAGGAAUGGGGUGGCCUGACCCCUGCCCUGCCCACCUCUCACGCACGCACCUCCACCCACCUGCUGGCUGGUCCCAGAGGCCUUCCUAGGUUCCCGGGAGGCUCUCCGCUGGGAGCCAGGGGAAGUGUCAGAGCCAGGGCGACAUUCCCAGGAAUAGCGAGAGGCCCCAAGGACUCAUUCCCUUUCAGAACGGAAGGCCUCGGUGACCCAGGACCCUCCUGGGGCCGUCACAAGUCUUCGAGUAACCACUGGGGCCCAGCGGGUGAGCUUCAAGGCCACUCCUAAUGGCCACCACGCUGACCAGCAGCUUUUCGAAUGGGCUGGUCCUUUGGAACUGCCCCUGGCUGGUGGGUGUCCCUGCCUGCCAGCCCCCGUCCUGCUGGCCUUGGCCUGGGUGGUGGGCUGGCCCCAGGGUGGGGUGUUCCUCCUACCCCUGCCUCCGCUUCCAUCACUUUUUUUUUUUUUUUGAGACAGCGUCUCUGUUGCUCAGGCUGGAGUGCAGUGGCGCCAUCUCGACUGAUUGCGACCUCUGCCUCCUGAGUUCAAACAAUUCUCCUGCCUCAGUCUCCCGAGUAGCUGGGAUUACAGGCGCCCACCACCGCUCCUGGCUACUUUUUGUAUGUUAGUAGAGAUAGGGUUUCACCAUGUUACCCAGGGUGGUCUAGAACUCCAGACCUCAGGCAAUCCAUCUGCCUCAGCCUCCCAAAGUGCUGGGAUUACAGGCUUGAGCCACACAGCCUGGCUGCUUUGGUCACUUUGGGAACAGUAUUCCAGUGUCAGGCUGCUGGGCUCGGGAGCUUGGGUGUCUGCCCCAGUCAGUCGCCCCUCUUGGGGUGGGACACCCAACAGGCAUGGAACACAGGGUACCUGUGUCUUUUAGGGUGCAGGGCUGGGCAGUUCCAGCAGUGUCCACCAGGGGGCGGGGCCGCACCGCUCAGGGUGGAGCUGGAGCCACCAACCCGCAUCCUGGCUGGGGCUCCCGGCUCUCACCACAGCCCUCUCCGCCUGGCUUCUCUGGGCUUGGGCAAGGCCCCUAACUGUUCUGUGCCUCAGUGUCUUUCCCCUUGAAGGGACUGAUCUGCAGAGUGCCCGCCCUGGGGUUGAGCUUAUGGUGAGGGCUCGGUGGCAGCCAGCCCUGACUGUCCUGUUUACCCCAUGGAGAAACUGAGGCUGGAGUGUCCGCUGGACAUCCGAGGUGACACCCUCAGGUGCAGCUGGCAGCGGGGCCCCAGGAGAUGCUGGGAGAUGCCUAGAUUUGUGGGGUUCUUGGUAUGUGCCCAGCACGCAACAGUUCCAGUUGCAGUCUGGACUCUCUCUGGCAUUGUUUUUUUCAGAAGGUCAUGUUUUCUGUGUGAUACAUAGAAUACCU